rnacentral:rRNA from 1 species
GGGCGUUAAGUUGCAGGGUAUAGACCCGAAACCCGGUGAUCUAGCCAUGGGCAGGUUGAAGGUUGGGUAACACUAACUGGAGGACCGAACCGACUAAUGUUGAAAAAUUAGCGGAUGACCUGUGGCUGGGGGUGAAAGGCCAAUCAAACCGGGAGAUAGCUGGUUCUCCCCGAAAGCUAUUUAGGUAGCGCCUCGUGAAUUCAUCUCCGGGGGUAGAGCACUGUUUCGGCUAGGGGGCCAUCCCGGCUUACCAACCCGAUGCAAACUGCGAAUACCGGAGAAUGUUAUCACGGGAGACACACGGCGGGUGCUAACGUCCGUCGUGAAGAGGGAAACAACCCAGACCGCCAGCUAAGGUCCCAAAGUCAUGGUUAAGUGGGAAACGAUGUGGGAAGGCCCAGACAGCCAGGAUGUUGGCUUAGAAGCAGCCAUCAUUUAAAGAAAGCGUAAUAGCUCACUGGUCGAGUCGGCCUGCGCGGAAGAUGUAACGGGGCUAAACCAUGCACCGAAGCUGCGGCAGCGACACUCAGGUGUUGUUGGGUAGGGGAGCGUUCUGUAAGCCUGCGAAGGUGGCCUGUGAGGGUUGCUGGAGGUAUCAGAAGUGCGAAUGCUGACAUAAGUAACGAUAAAGCGGGUGAAAAGCCCGCUCGCCGGAAGACCAAGGGUUCCUGUCCAACGUUAAUCGGGGCAGGGUGAGUCGACCCCUAAGGCGAGGCCGAAAGGCGUAGUCGAUGGGAAACGGGUUAAUAUUCCCGUACUUGGUGUUACUGCGAAGGGGGGACGGAGAAGGCUAUGUUGGCCGGGCGACGGUUGUCCCGGUUUAAGCGUGUAGGUGUGUGUUCCAGGUAAAUCCGGUUCACUUUAACACUGAGGCGUGACGACGAGGCACUACGGUGCUGAAGCAACAAAUGCCCUGCUUCCAGGAAAAGCCUCUAAGCAUCAGGUAACAUCAAAUCGUACCCCAAACCGACACAGGUGGUCAGGUAGAGAAUACCAAGGCGCUUGAGAGAACUCGGGUGAAGGAACUAGGCAAAAUGGUGCCGUAACUUCGGGAGAAGGCACGCUGACAUGUAGGUGAAGUGAUUUACUCAUGGAGCUGAAGUCAGUCGAAGAUACCAGCUGGCUGCAACUGUUUAUUAAAAACACAGCACUGUGCAAACACGAAAGUGGACGUAUACGGUGUGA